rnacentral:rRNA from 1 species
GACGGGGGUCCGGCACAAGCGGGUGGAGCAUGUGGUUUAAUUCGAAGCAACGCGAAGAACCUUACCAGGCCUUGACAUGCAGAGAACUUUCCAGAGAUGGAUUUGGUGCCUUCGGGAACUCUGACACAGGUGCUGCAUGGCUGUCGUCAGCUCGUGUCGUGAGAUGUUGGGUUAAGUCCCGUAACGAGCGCAGCCCCUACCUUUAGUUGCCAUCAGGUUAAGCUGGGGACUCUAAAGGAACUGCCUACGCAAGUAGUGAGGAAGGCGGGGAUGACGUCAAAUCAGCACGGCCCUUACGUCCAGGGCUACACACGUGCUACAAUGGCCGAUACAGAGGGCAGCUACCUGGUGACAGGAUGCAAAUCUCCAAAGUCGGUCUCAGUUCGGAUCGGAGUCUGCAACCCGACUCCGUGAAGUUGGAAUCGCUAGUAAUCGCGCAUCAGCCAUGGCGCGGUGAAUACGUUCCCGGGCCUU